CACAGAAAGAUUAAAACAUCACCCCUAGAUAGGUGCCCCUCCAUCCUCCUUGGGAACAUGCUGCUAGUGCUAUUCACCCCGGACAGGGUCUUUUCCAAGGCUCUCUGCAGAAGGAAUGAGGUAAUGAGGGUAGCAAAGAGCCAGCAGGGAGGAGUUUUAUUCAUGAGGGUAUUCCUGCUUGGCUGCCCCACACCUGUGAACAUCUUGGAUCUGGCAAAGGGCACAACAGUGCUCAGAGGCUGCAAGCUGAAGUCAAUUAUGUGCCAGGUGCAUACAAACCAGGUUUUGUCCACUUUCAGGAUGCUUUGCAAUCUGAUCACACUUCCCACCUCCACCCCACCUGCUCAGAUAAAGAGCUAAAAAUCUCCUUUUUUGCAACAAAGCCCAAAAACUUUCGGUAAUCCUAUGCAUUCAGAAGCUGCAACUCAGAAAACAAAUCACCAGAUCAUCACUGGUGAAGUAAUGGCAAAGCUGCUGUUUUAAUCCACUGCCUUCCCUGUUGAUAGGCUAAAUAACAUUCAUUUUAAACCACAGUUUGGUUGGUAUAUAGCAGCAAAUUGCUGUGGCAGCCUCGUUUCCUGGGAGACAUCCACCUUUAUCCUAUGGUCUGUGUAACCAGGAGAGUGCUAAGCCUGGCUCAGCUUCCACUGCAUCCCCUAACAGUAUUUUUACCAGCUCUAACAGGAGAUAUUCAGGCCUGGAUUUAUGCAAUCUCAAUGAAAACUCAUUUAGAUGAUGGCAAAAAUUGCCUUUUUAUUUGACCUGUGAGCAGUGAAUCUGCCAGAGAGGAGGCACAAGGCAGCUGGAGGAAAAGCAGUCCUUGAUUUGCAAAAGAAACAUGUUGGUAGUUCCUAACUUUCUAUCCUAAUCUUUAUGGCAGGGUAAGAAAUGGAAGUGUCACCAAUAUUCCCAAGUCCAUAGGGAACUACCAGCUGGACAGUCCCCAUCUGGUAUAUUUCUCAGCAUGCUCAGUAAAUGCCAACACUUUUUGCCUAUGUUUGAGCGAUAUUACACAAGCUUCACUGGCACGGGGAAACUGUUGCCAUACAUCUCAAACUAAGAACAGUUUCCAGGAAUCAUCCCUUCAGGUAUUUUCCACUCCAUUGAAUGACCAGUCUACUUCAUGCAGAUCUAAGCAGAAUUUGGGGGGAUUUUGGCUGGCUGUGACAAUUUCAGUUUCUCACAAGAAAACAUCCAGAGACCUCCAGUCAAUGAACAGAGCUACUUUUUCAGUGCUGACUUCUCUACCGAGGCUUUAAGUUUUUUGGAGUCUGGAUUAAAAGAUGUGAGCACCUAAAAAAACCUGAAACAGAGAAAUAAAUAAAGUCACCUCAGUGCUUCACGGGUACCCUGCCUUUUGCAAAUGCUUGUCCAACCACAACCUAAAUAAUUCAAAUCAUCGUUGUCAGGCAGCAGCACAGCUCUCCUCAAUAGGCACUUGCCUUAUCACUCUACAGCAGAUGCUUCAGUCAACCAUUGGAUAUUGAAAACAUAAAUAAUGAAACAAAAUUUGGAGACAAUGGUUUCUGGGCCGGGGACAAAAUACUGAUGGAUAUUGUCAGUCUCGGUGUA